rnacentral:rRNA from 1 species
GACGAACGCUGGCGGCGUGCUUAACACAUGCAAGUCGAACGGAAAGGCCCUGCUUUUGUGGGGUGCUCGAGUGGCGAACGCGUGAGUAACACGUGAGUAACCUGCCCUUGACUUUGGGAUAACUUCAGGAAACUGGGGCUAAUACCGGAUAGGAGCUCCUGCUGCAUGGUGGGGGUUGGAAAGUUUCGGCGGUUGGGGAUGGACUCGCGGCUUAUCAGCUGGUUGGUGGGGUAGGGGCUUACCAAGGCUUUGACGGGUAGCCGGCCUGGGAGGGUGACCGGCCACAUUGGGACUGAGAUACGGCCCAGACUGCUACGGGAGGCAGCAGUGGGGAAUAUUGCACAAUGGGCGGAAGCGUGAUGCAGCAACGCCGCGUGCGGGAUGACGGCCUUCGGGUUGUAAACCGCUUUCGCCUGUGACGAAGCGUGAGUGACGGUAAUGGGUAAAGAAGCACCGGCUAACUACGUG